GCUCAUGAUGGAUGGCUCAGUCAGUACAGCAUGAGAUUCUUAAUCUCAAGGUCAUGGGUUCCAGCCCCACAUUGGGCA